CUGGCUCAGAACGAACGCUGGCGGCAGGCUUAACACAUGCAAGUCGAACGCAUCCUUCGGGGUGAGUGGCAGACGGGUGAGUAACGCGUGGGAAUCUACCUCUUGCUACGGGAUAGCUCCGGGAAACUGGAAUUAAUACCGUAUGUGCCCUUCGGGGGAAAGAUUUAUCGGCAAGGGAUGAGCCCGCGUUGGAUUAGCUAGUUGGUGGGGUAAAGGCCUACCAAGGCGACGAUCCAUAGCUGGUCUGAGAGGAUGAUCAGCCACAUUGGGACUGAGACACGGCCCAAACUCCUACGGGAGGCAGCAGUGGGGAAUAUUGGACAAUGGGCGCAAGCCUGAUCCAGCCAUGCCGCGUGAGUGAUGAAGGUCUUAGGAUUGUAAAGCUCUUUCACCGGGGACGAUAAUGACGGUACCCGGAGAAGAAGCCCCGGCUAACUUCGUGCCAGCAGCCGCGGUAAUACGAAGGGGGCUAGCGUUGUUCGGAAUUACUGGGCGUAAAGCGCACGUA
rnacentral:rRNA from 1 species